rnacentral:rRNA from 1 species
UACGAAGGGGGCUAGCGUUGCUCGGAAUCACUGGGCGUAAAGGGUGCGUAGGCGGGUCUUUUAAGUCAGGGGUGAAAUCCUGGAGCUCAACUCCAGAACUGCCUUUGAUACUGAAGAUCUUGAGUUCGGGAGAGGUGAGUGGAACUGCGAGUGUAGAGGUGAAAUUCGUAGAUAUUCGCAAGAACACCAGUGGCGAAGGCGGCUCACUGGCCCGGAUACUGACGCUGAGGCACGAAAGCGUGGGGGAGCAAACAGGG